rnacentral:rRNA from 1 species
CACGCAGGCGGAUUGAUAAGUCAGGGGUGAAAUCCCGGGGCUCAACCUCGGAAUUGCCUUUGAUACUGUCUGUCUUGAGUUCGGGAGAGGUUGGCGGAAUUCCUAGUGUAGAGGUGAAAUUCGUAGAUAUUAGGAAGAACACCAGUGGCGAAGGCGGCCAACUGGCCCGAUACUGACGCUCAUGUGCGAAAGCGUGGGGAGCAAACAGGAUUAGAUACCCUGGUAGUCCACGCCGUAAACUAUGGAUGCUAGCCGUUGGGGAGCUUGCUCUUCAGUGGCGCAGCUAACGUCUUAAGCAUCCCGCCUGGGGAGUACGGUCGCAAGAUUAAA